rnacentral:rRNA from 1 species
UACGUAGGGUGCAAGCGUUAAUCGGAAUUACUGGGCGUAAAGCGUGCGCAGGCGGUUAUGUAAGACCGUUGGGAAAUCCCCGGGCUCAACCUGGGACCUGCAUUUGUGACUGCAUCGCUAGAGUACGGUAGAGGGGGAUGGAAUUCCGCGUGUAGCAGUGAAAUGCGUAGAUAUGCGGAGGAACACCGAUGGCGAAGGCAAUCCCCUGGACCUGUACUGACGCUCAUGCACGAAAGCGUGGGGAGCAAACAGG